UACGUAGGGUGCAAGCGUUAAUCGGAAUUACUGGGCGUAAAGCGUGCGCAGGCGGUUUUGUAAGUCUGUCGUGAAAUCCCCGGGCUCAACCUGGGGAAUUGCGAUGGAGACUGCAAGGCUAGAAUCUGGCAGAGGGGGGGUAGAAUUCCACGUGUAGCAGUGAAAUGCGUAGAGAUGUGGAGGAACACCGAUGGCGAAGGCAGCCCCCUGGGUCAAGAUUGACGCUCAUGCACGAAAGCGUGGGGAGCAAACGAAGGAUUAGAGUACCCCG
rnacentral:rRNA from 1 species